rnacentral:tRNA from 1 species
UGGCACAGUGGUAAAGCAUUUGUCUGCUAACCAAAAAGUUGGUGGUUUGAACCCACC